CUCAGGAUCGAAACUAGGUACGGUGGUCGAAGUUCUUAUUCUCACUGGUCGGAGUGACUUUUGCACGGCUGAUGGUUUAUGUUUCUAGCUAGCUGAUGUAAUGUGACUGUUCUUUUAGAACGAAGACGCUAGAAGCGUCCGGCUUUAAAUUAAUAAAGCCCGAAAGGCAUCUAGGUUUAACGGUUACACAGUAACAGGUUCAGCAACACACCCCUCAGGGCAGCAAAAGCAAGGUGCAUCGCUACAUAAUCACCAUGACGAAUCAGCAAGAGCAAUGACCUAAACUACUAAACACCGCAGGAGGUUCCAAAAGCAUCAUCAACUCGUCAUGUUUUGUCUUGCCCUCGUCUGAGUUGACUUGAUACGCUCCAUGGCUUCUGUCAUGCGCUCAGCAUCGCGCUCCUUCCCCAGCGGUGUCCACAUCUGCAAAAAUAGGUGGCAUUUGAAGAUCAUGUCUGCAGGGUGGUUAGGAAAUUUCUUUUCAAUCGUAAUUUUGUUUCGCGUCAUCCAACUGCCCAUAGUAACGCCCCUACGCAACGCCAGGCGAUUCUGCUAGAGGUCCCCUUAGUGGAUUUUAGAAUCGAUACCAAUUGUGUCCCCGAAACGGGGUUCCAGUCUAUGUGGAAGGCCUCCCGAACUGCACUCCACAUAAACCUGGCCAGGUGGCACCGGAAGAAAACAUGAUUCGCGUCUUCCCCUUGCCCACAGAUCACGCAUGUGCCGUCGGUCGGACCAUUCCGUUUGGCUAUGUUGUCCGAAGUAGGCAGCCUAUUCCUGAGCAUUUGCCACAUAAAGAUCUUGAUCUUCAGGGGCAGGCCUGCCUUCCACAGACCCUUUGCUAUGUCAAGCACUGGCCCUCCAGUUAGCUUGUUACAUAAGGACUUCACUGUAAAUUUCCCGGAUGCUGUCAAACUCCACUUGACAGUGUCAGCCCCCGCCCGAAGGCGAUGGGCGCCUAAUUGCUGGGACAGCCCGUCCCAAGAGAUGCGCUCUUCGUUUGUUAGGGCCCUCAUAAAGUGGAUCGCCGGCGGGUCUACAUGUAACACCUCCCCAACUAGGAUGUUAGUAUCUGUGGCGAUCCUGAAUAAGGAGGGAUGGCUUUGCCAAAGGGGGGAAUCGCCCAGCCAGUGAUCAAGCCAAAACCUAGUGGAUAGUCCGUUGUUGGUCUGGAAAUUGGCCCCUAAAUCGAAAGCAGGCCGCACCGCUUGAAUCCCUCUCCAAAACACGGAUCCGUUGGCCGAGGCUGUGAAUGGGUUCCCAUGCGGGAAGUACUUGGCUUUAAGCAGCUUUGCCCAGAGCCCCGACUCAUCUUGGGUCAACCGCCACCACCAUUUGGCUAGAAGGGCAACAUUCAUAAGUUUGGAAUUUAGGAUUCCCAAUCCCCCAAAUUUCUUAGGCCUACAAACCGCCGCCCACUUGACGAGGUGGUACUUUCUUUUGAUGCCAGUUCCUUCCCAGAAGAACCUGGAUCUAGGCGUGUCUAGCUUGGCAUGUACCCCAUCGGCAAGCAAAAACAUCCCCAUAGUGAAGAGGGGAAGGGAAGAGAGGCUCGAGUUUGUGAGAAUGAGCCUUGCAGCGGAGGACAUGAAGCGCCCUCGCCAUGGGCUUACCCUAUUAGCCACUUUCCCGUACAGGGGCUCCCAUUCUAGUAUCGAAAGUUUGCGGUUGGAGAUUGGAAGCCCUAGGUACUUAAUUGGAAAGCUCCCUAGCUUGCAAUUAAGGAGGUUUGCGGUACGUAAGCUUUGCUGGUCGUCCAUCCCCAUGGUUAUGACCUCGCUCUUUGUAAAGUUGAUUUUGAGUCCGGAGAGGAGCUCGAAGGCUAGUAGCAAAAGUUUAAUCGAAGCGAUACUGUGAUCAUCUGGCUUAAACAACAGCAGGGUGUCGUCUGCGUAUUGUAAGUGAGUCACUCCACCCGGGAUGAGGUGUGAUACUAACCCCUUGAUGUGACCGGCCUCCCUGGCCUUGGUCAACAUGGUUGCCAUUGCAUCUGCCACAAAAUUAAAGACAAGUGGGGAUAUGGGAUCGCCCUGUCUAAGCCCUUUCCUGUUACGGAAAUAUUUCCCCAUCUCGCCAUUAACAAUGACCGAGGUGUUGCCACUCGAGAUCAGGCUCAUGAUCCGGUGAACAAACCCUGCCUCAAAACCCUUUUUGAGGAAGACCUCGCGAAUAAACUCCCAAUUUACACGGUCAUAAGCUUUUUCGAAAUCUAACUUAAUGAUGACACCCUGCUCCUGUGUGCAUUUUAACUCGUGGACAAUCUCCGUAAGAGCAAUGGGCCCUUCCAGGAUGUUCCUACCCUUCAGGAAAGCAGUUUGGCUCGAACUAAUGACUUGUUGGGCGACCGUCGCUAGCCUAGAAGCAUAAGCUUUGGCGCACAAUUUAAAGGGAACAUUGAUGAGCGUAAUCGGCCGAAACUGUGUAAUAGCUUCUGCCCUUUUGACCUUGGGGAUUAGGCAGAUGGCCCCGUAAUUCAGACGAGACAGGUCAACCGUACCUAGGGCGAAGCCGUUUAUGAUCACUUGGAAUAAGUCCCUAAGCAGCGGCCAGAAGCGCUUGAAAAACUCCACCGGCCAGCCGUCAGGCCCUGGGGCCGUGUCGUUCUUCAUACCCGCAAGCGCGCAAUCAAUCUCCUGGGCCGAAAAGGACACCAUAAGGGCGUCGUUUUCCUGCUGCGAGACUCGUUCGUGCAUGCCCCAAAAGUCUGCCCUAAGACUUAGGUUUUUCACCUCAGCUGUUCCCAACAGCUCAACGAAGAAGCUAUAGAUGUAUUUCGCUAUAUCGUUCUGAGAUAUCAGCGUCCCACGUUCUGAUUGGAGCCUAAGGAUAGUGCUCUUCCGUUUGCGACCGUUAGCGUAAGCGUGAAAGUAUCCUGUGUUUGCAUCGCCUUUCACUACCCACUUGACACCACCCCUACGGCGCCAGUAUUCCUCCUCCGCCCUGAGAAUAGCCAGGACCUGAUGUUCAAGAGAAUAUCUAAGCUCCCAUUCGUCACCAGAGAAGGUUCUAAUAUCGGCCUGCGAGUCAAGGAGGGCUAUAUCUGCCGUAAUGCGCUCCCUCUCCCUUUUGGACUCGCUACCAUGGUUAGCUCCCCAGCCCCUAAGGAAAGCACGCAAAGUCGCAGCCGCUGAGGACCAGAACUCAACUGGUCCUCGUUGACGCCCCAACUGGUUGCCGAUCUGGGCCCAGCGAUUUGUGACUAGCUGGCUGAAACCCUCAUGUUCGAACCAAGCUGUCUCAAAGAAGAAUCUAUGACUACGCCGCACGUUGUCCUCCCCUGAGGACAGAAUCAGCGGGACGUGAUCGGAUCCUAUGCGCGUUUCCGCCACUAAAGUACAGAGAGGAAACAGCGCCUCCCAGUCACUAGUGCAAAAGACACGGUCCAGGACACAUCUGAUUGGCUCACGUUGCUUGUUAGUCCAGGUGUAUCUGGCCCCAGUACGCGCGAUCUCCCGAAGGGCAGCGUACGCAAUGGCAUUAUUGAACAUGGACACCCUAGCCCAGUCAAUAUUGUUGUUGCUUUUGUCCGCCCCGAGCGGAUCAAGUUGAAAUCACCUCCUACCACCACUGGUAGGUUGGACGAUUGUUUGGCCCCCACCAUAGCUGUAAUUUCAUCUAAGAAAAUAGCGGACCUCGCGUGAUCCGCCGGCCCAUAAACACUCGCGAUCACCCAAGAAGCUUGGGAGACCCGGUGACGGAUAGUGGCAGCUAUAUAGAACGUGCCGCCCUCCCACGAUAUAACCUCACACACAUCCUUGUUGCAACCCAUCAGUUGACCCCCAGAGAGGCCGACAGACGGAAUCCAGAACCAAUCAAAACGCUGGAGCGGAUCAUACGCCAAAAGGUCUCUAAAGGAGAAAUCGGCUUUAAUAGUCUCCUGGAGCGCCACAAAGUCAAUGAGUUCUUUGGACAUGUACUCGCGGAGCUGCGUGCGACGCCCCACGUGCCCGCAUCCGUGGAUAUUCCAGAAGAAAUAACGCAUUAGAUAAUCCUGUUACGCAAGCGGACUCCACGGGAGGAGACCGCCUUGGCCACACGCUUCCUAGCCGGCUUUCGACUGGAAGAAGGCAAGACCGAGGCCGCCUCGGCCUCAGCUCCCUCCAUGGGCAUGUCGACAGCAUCAGCCCCUACUGAUGCUGCGUCCGUGGCUUCGACCGCCUGAGCAGCCGCACACCUGGCAGCUGCUUCCGCGAGGGCAGCCUGGGCCUCUUCGCGCGCACGCAAUAAAGAAAUCAAAUCCAUAGACGAGGAGUCUAGCGCUACGCCACUAUCAUGCAGAAUCUCGGCGAGAUGCUCAUCAGAGAAAGCAUUCAAAAUCUUAAAGGAGGGGAGGAGGUUACCUGUCGUGUCCAUGUUCUUGUCAGCAGCACGAAGCUUUGCACUUUCCAGAGAGGUCAUGUCUCCGAGCUUGGCCUUGGCGCGAGCGCUAGGAGCCCGAGACGACACCGGAGUUGCCCUAGUACGCUUGGCCUUGACUGCCGUCCCUGACGCCACCAGAGCCGCGCCCAAAUCGCCUCCCAGCGCCGAAACCGACCCCGCAACCUCCGAGACCACCGUCUUGCUCCCCGCCUUCCUCCCCGCAGUCUUCUUGGCCUGUCGGCCAGAGCCACUCGACAGGCGCCUGUCAGAGGCCGGAGUUGGGUCCGAGUCCAUGAGGACGCAUUCCAGCCCCGAGCCCUCCCCCCCCCUCGGGGUGGGGAGCCCGGCAUGGCCCCGUACCCCCUUGCCACAAGAGGGAGAGGCGCACAUGGAGCUGUCAGGCUAGAGCCCAGGACCUCAAAAGACGGAUCCAGAGAGCGGGCGAGGGGGGGAAGGCUGACAGCCGUGUCUUGAGUCGCGAUCACACCCAGUUUUUCCCAUGUCUCGGUGUCGAUAGAAGUGUCUUGGAUGCUGUCUUCGGGGUCGUCCGCCAUCUCGCCCAUCACCACAUCUUGGUCCCCCACCUUCGCGCCGGAGCCGGCUGCCUCCUUCUGAGACGCCCCCGUCCCAGGUAUGGGUGCCCCAAUGGCAGCUGCCUUGGGGGCUUUGCCCGCGGAAGGCCCUUGCUUGCUAGGGUCGCCCUUUCCCUGCUGGCUGUCUGGCGGGGGAACGGAUGGGCCCGCCCCCGGGGCUCCACCGCCCUCACCCAACCUUCUGGGCAUCCGUUCUAGCUCCAACUUGAUCUGAUAUCCUUCGUGAUUAAACCAGACCUCCACCGUGCCAUUCAGCUUUUGCCGGCGACUUGCAAGCCAAUUUCAUCCUCACCGGACCCAACUUAAUGAGGGAAAGUUCAUCAACCAGAAUAGGUCGGCCCAGCAUCUUAAAGGCCUCCUUGAUGCGCUCAAUCUUGCGAUGCUUCUCAGGAAUCCCAUGGAGCCGCACCCAAGCUUCUGGCAUCACCAUUGGUGGAAGCACCUCAUGGACCACAUCCCGCACCCUAGCAGUGAUGUCGUUGAUGGAGAGGAAGAGUUUGCCACUGGUCCGGGCCAUGUGAAGAAGGUCCGCGGAGGGAAACACCACCAUGAAAUCGUCUUCGCCUACUUGCGUGACUUGCCAGUCCCAGUCCCCCGUGACCAUGUGUUUGAGCUCCUGAAUGAGAACCCGCAGGUUGAGGCUGCCUGGCUCCGCGGAAAGGAUUGCCGCGUUUCCAACCGAGGGGAGCCGAGGGCCCUCCAGCUCUUCCUCCUCUUCAAACUGCAAGCAGAAAAAACCCUCCCCUGAAAUUGCACUGCCCAUAAUCUGUAGGCUAGGCUGCCGACCCCUCGUCGGGCAAUGAGCGGAAGCAUGUCCCUCCUCCUUGCAGAGCACACACAAAGGCUGGAAUUUGCAUUUGGACUGGAAAUGACCAAGCCUCCCGCACUUGAAACAUUCCACUUCCAUAACCUCCGACCCGUCCUCCACCGGAAUGGGCUCGCCCACGGUGCCCUUCGCGCCCGGGGGGAGGGACACAGCCAAGGGAUCGGACGAUGCCCGGGCCUUCUUGGCCAGUGGAUCUCCGUGGCCACCACCAUAUCUGGGGAGAUCCGCGGGCUUGCGUUCCAGCUCCCGACGCCGAGCCAUCUCCUUCUUCUUCUUCCUUCUUUCCUGCUGCUGGAUCCACCAUGGGGGAGGGGGACCCCACUCCCCCUCGCGCCCCUCCGGCUCAUAGCUUCUCUCAGAUCUGCCACCAUUCCUAGCUCGCUGCUCCUUCUUCGCCUUUUCCCGCAGCUCGCGCUCCCGGCGCCGCUCCCCAUCUGAGAUCGGGGGCUCCAUAGGCCUCUUCUCCGUGCGCCGCCCGUUCAUCACCACCGCCGCAAAAGAAAUGGAGAGAGGGGGGGUGGGGAAAUGAGUUGGAUGGAUCUGGCACGGCGAGCCCAGCGCCGCACCUCCGAUCUUGAUGCAGGAAACCCUAGCGAGGGGUCAAGGCAGCCGCGGCGCACCCAUAAAUAGGAGCCGGGGUUGGGCCAAGGCCGAGGCAGGCCCGCCAUGGGCUGGACGUAACCCACUGGCCCACUGAUCGCCAGGCCUCCCUUCCCCCGGGACUCGCUGUCUCCUCCAGAGCGCGGCCCUUCACCGCCUGCUGAACCUGAUUCCUGGGCCGGCCCGCGACCCCGCUGGCCCACCUCGGCCCCGGGCCCGACGCUGCCAACCCUAGGCCUCGGAGACGCCGCGCCACCCUCCGCAGCCUGCGGCGCCGCCGCCUCCUCCUCCGCCGCCCGUCCGGCCCCCGCCGACGACGUAAGGCACGGCCACUCCACCUCCGAGUCCACCGGAGCGAGAAGCGUCGCCGCCGUCCUAACACGGAUGUCCCUCGCGGCACCCCCAGAGGACGGCGAGCCCCUGCCCGCCGACGUGGAGGGUCGCCAAGCUCUGAUCUCGACUGCGCGCGAGCCCCGGCCUCCCGGAGCGAAGCGGCGACGCGCUCUCACGACUCCGGGCCCCGACGUAAGUGCACAGGCCACAAAGUCGCCGAGUGACGGCCUCGUCGGCGCCAGGAACCCCUCCCUACUCGCCGGAUCCGAGUCCUCCUCGACCUCCGACUCGUCCGCAGCCAGCGCCCAAAACCGACCGCCUACCGGAGCCAGCACCGCGCCAUCCCUCACGGUCUGCCCCGUCCCCGCCGGAGAGGGCCAAGCGCCGCGCCUGACCACCUCCCAGCCCCCUGAGGCCGAGGCCGGAGGCGACCGAGGUGAAACUUGUGGGUCUGGAUGUCUCAUACUGACUCGUACUGACGCAUGUCAUGUGACUGUUCUAAUACCCUCUGCUUGUUGGUAAUUUGUGUUCUUAGUUUUGUGUAGUACUCACUGGUAGACUUGUUCGUUAUGUGGCACGUCUGAUGUAAUGUAGCUGUUCUAAUGCCCCAUGCUCUUGUUGGUAAUUUGUGUUCUUAGUUCUGCAUAAUUUGUGUGGCUGUUGUGGCCAAUAUUUCUAGCUGCUGUAAUUUGGGGAAGUUCGUUAUGUGGCACGUCGCCGAUCUCAAGAAUAUGUUUCAUGUAACCAAUUAAUGACAUUUCUUCUCGAUCUCAUCUAGUAUUCAGAUCAGAUGUCACAUUAUAUUGUUUUUUUUUCUUUUUCUUUGUUAGAACAAUCAGACGGGCUUUUUCUUCUUAAAAGAGGAAAAUCUGAUAGCUCAUGUCUCUUUUCCUCCUUUAAAUUUUAA
rnacentral:lncRNA from 1 species